GUAUGGCCAACCUGUAGCAGGAUCUUUAAAGAUUAGGGCUUCAUACUUAACAUAUCACUGGGAGAAAGAACCUCCAGCUUCUGUCGAACAUGAGACACAGAUUGCGGGCUGCUACAACUUUUCUGCUAAUGCUUCUGCUUUGGAGUUUUACAAAAAUCGUUAUUCAUAUAGAGGACUUAAAUUGACUGCACAGGUCAUUGAAAAAGGAACAGGAAUUGAUGCGAAUGCUUCAAAUGUAAUCUAUCGAACCUUCUCUCCACUGAGUUUUGUGUAUUUAGAGGAAUCGCAGGGAGAGCAAUUUCUUAAACCUGGACUUCCAUUUCAUGGAACAUUGAAAGUAGAAAACCCUGACCACACUGUAGCAGCUGGAGAAAAGGUGCAAAUUUGUUCAUAUGCAGAACUAGAACAUUGGACCAGUAGCAGAUGGAUUGAUGAAAGAAUUAAGAACUGUAAAGAUUUCCUUAGUGAUGAAAAUGGUAUAAUUCGUUUCACCAUCUUGCCUCAAGGCCAAGAAGUUAUUCGUCUGAGAAU